CUUGGAGCUGCUUCUGGGAUUUGUGUGACUGAUCAAUUUGAUGAUCUCCCGGGCACAAGUUUGAGGGUACACUUGUAUACUUGAUGGUGCGAGGAAGAAUGGGGAAGUCAUUUCCAUCGUUGAUGUAACCCCCCCGAUCAUUGAUCUCCAUAGCAGAUUCAUAUUCUUACAGCUGCUGUAUCUAACAAGCCGCGAGUUGACACGAGACAUAUUUGCACAUUAGUUUCAUGAGAGAGGAUUUUGCACAUAAGUGAAGUAGGAGUCCUAGAUUAUAGGAACAGGAUGAGAAGAGUGUAGGGUUAUCAGAAAUGAG
rnacentral:misc_RNA from 1 species